rnacentral:rRNA from 1 species
UACGUAGGGUGCAAGCGUUAAUCGGAAUUACUGGGCGUAAAGCGUGCGCAGGCGGUUUUGUAAGUCUGUCGUGAAAUCCCCCGGGCUCAACCUGGGAAUUGCGAUGGAGACUGCAAGGCUGAGAAUCUGGCAGAGGGGGGUAGAAUUCCACGUGUAGCAGUGAAAUGCGUAGAGAUGUGGAGGAACGACCGAUGGCGAAGGCAGCCCCCUGGGUCAAGAUUGACGCUCAUGCACGAA